UAAAUCAAUGGUAUUUUAAUAUCGGUUUUGCACAUUGAAUGUUUGUGCUCUCUUGGUGAUACGAAAUAGUUAAUUAGUAUUUCUUAUGUUCAUGCCAUCAUUAUUUCACAGAAAAAUGAAGGGACGAAAUAAAUGUCAUAUAUUUCUCAACUCUAACUGAAGAAACUCUUUAACCCAAAAAUGAAGUCCUAUACCCUAAAUCCAAACCGUAAAAUUAAAAUCCUAAAUAUAUAUCCAUGGACCCUGUACUGUACACCUGAAAUUCAAACCCUAAACCCUAAACCAAAGUCCUAUACCUUAACUCCUAACCGCAUACUUUCUAUUCAAAUUCUAGACCAUAAACCGAAACCGUUAAUUUGAAAUACGAUUUCCCAAUA
rnacentral:lncRNA from 1 species